rnacentral:misc_RNA from 1 species
AACGCACAUUGCGCCCAUCAGUAUUCUGAUGGGCAUGCCUGUUCGAGCGUCAUUUCAACCCUCAAGCCCCCGUGGCUUGGUGUUGGGGAUCGGCCCGCCCCUAGCGGCGCGCCGGCCCUGAAAUCUAGUGGCGGUCUCGCUGUAGCCUCCUCUGCGUAGUAGCAACACCUCGCACCGGAACGCAGCGCGGCCACGCCGUUAAACCCCCACUUCUGAAGGUUGACCUCGGAUCAGGUAGGAAUACCCGCUGAACUUAA